rnacentral:lncRNA from 1 species
GCAACAAGGCUGAUCCAUCUCAGAGGUGGAGUCUGGGGAACAGGGGAGUCUGAGGGCUGGAGGUGGAGUUUCAUAACACAGAUGGAUGUUCACCACCAUGGCUUUCUCAGACUUUUAAACCAGAAUGAGGUUCAGAGAGCUGUCAGAGGAUGUUGAAUGAACAGAAAUGGAAAAUUGGAACCAAUAUACAUUGAGCUACUUUGUGAAUCACAGUGGGAAAGCGUUGGAGUCCCAGCCUCACAUCACUUAAGACCCCACUCACUCAUAUCCACUGACAGCAGCACUCUCGCAGCCUGCUCCCCAUACCAGGGGGCACUUUCUCCAGGAUGAGCAAGAAAAACUGUUCUCCACUGUACCAGAUAUGGGUUUGAUGAAUUCAGCCCUGUGCAUAUCCAUGAAGGCCACCCAAGAACUUCCAGAAACUUCUGGUUCACCAUGAUCACCAGAAGAACAUCAAUGGAAUUAUUUCCAGUGCCUCGACACUUUGAAGGGAGGCUCAGUGUCCUGAGGCCAAGAUCAGAGCUGCACUGCAGGGAAGACAAGAUUUUGCCAAGAGCAAUAAAGUCGGGACAACCCAA